UACGUAGGGUGCAAGCGUUGUCCGGAAUUAUUGGGCGUAAAGAGCUCGUAGGCGGUUUGUCGCGUCUGCUGUGAAAACUCGGGGCUUAACUCCGGGCCUGCAGUGGGUACGGGCAGACUAGAGUGCGGUAGGGGAGACUGGAAUUCCUGGUGUAGCGGUGAAAUGCGCAGAUAUCAGGAGGAACACCGAUGGCGAAGGCAGGUCUCUGGGCCGGUACUGACGCUGAGACGCGAAAGCGUGGGGAGCGAACAGG
rnacentral:rRNA from 1 species